GUUGACUUCCUCAUUCAGUCAGAGGGAUUCUUUUGGUGCGUAAACAACGGAAAACAAUGUGGUUUUACAGGCUUGUGCGUGCUUUUAUACUGGCUACCGUAACAGUAAAUGCAAAUUACUUUGUAAGCAAUGAAUCGACGCAGUGGAGAAUGGCAACCUGCAAUCUGGCAGAACCAAAUCUAACUUACGAAAACACAAGUUAUAGAGUCAACCAGUCAACUGAGGCACUGAUAAACAAUACUGAUGUUUGGAUCGGAUAUCAGCUCGCAAAGAUACCGUUUCUAUUCUUAGGUUGUGGAAAAUGGACUAACAUCCCCAAUAAAACAUACAAUAUCAUGACAAUCGGUGAUUGUUACCACCUAUGUGCUGGUGGAAAAUUCGGAAUACAAAUCAACAGUGGCGAAAAUAUUCUAUCU